GGAACAAAUCCCACUGCAUCACCCAAGGCCAGGCUCUUAGGCCAAAGCAUCUGGAUGACGGUGUGGAAUCACAGGGGCCACCUGAGAGAGUCAGAGGAUGUGCCCCGGACAAGCCCUGGUGACAGCCCAGAACUCACUGCUAAAGAACACUUCGGUGGAACAGAGAUUUACUUUUCUGAACGCCUUGGAUAACUUUGCUGCCCUGAGGAUCAGGUGGCCUCUGGGUCCCACUCAUAUACUUGUCUUCAAGCUGCUGCUUCCGAAUGGCAUCGCCUUUGUGAGAAUGAAGAGGGAAGAGCCCGCUCAAUGCACAGCACGUGCUCAAGGAGCAGCAUUCCUUUUUUCACACCUUCAGUGCAAGUGUAAGAAGAAGGCAAUGGCACCCCACCCCAGUGCUCUCGCCUGGAAAAUCCCAUGGACAGAGGAGCCUGGUGGGCCGCAGUCCAUGGGGCGCUAA
rnacentral:lncRNA from 1 species